UACAGAGGGUGCGAGCGUUGUUCGGAAUUAUUGGGCGUAAAGAGCUCGUAGGCGGCCUGUCGCGUCGGAUGUGAAAGCCCGGGGCUUAACCCCGGGUCUGCAUUCGAUACGGGCAGGCUAGAGUGUGGUAGGGGAGAUCGGAAUUCCUGGUGUAGCGGUGAAAUGCGCAGAUAUCAGGAGGAACACCGGUGGCGAAGGCGGAUCUCUGGGCCAUUACUGACGCUGAGGAGCGAAAGCGUGGGGAGCGAACAGG
rnacentral:rRNA from 1 species